CUCGAAACUCCACAACAGGAGACUGAGCACAGAGGGGCCCCUUCCUCUUUGCCACAUGGGUAGGAAGCAGAGAUGGAGGUGGUCCUGGCUCCUACCACAUGAGGGGUGGCAGAAAGCCACUCUCUGUAAAUGCCAGCUUCUUCCCUGCUGGAUGAUGGCCAGAUUCCCUUAAACACAGAGGGUGGGGACAGAGAAGUCAAGUGAAGCAACGCUAGACAAUGCUGCCGCAUAACGCUGGCUGCUCCACCGCAGCCCUGAAGGCAUCUCUUAGACUGCUGACCCUCAAGGAAAAUGCAAUUGGGAGCACAACCAUGAUUGGCACCGAAAGGCAUUUUUUGUUGCUGUUCCCAUGAGAACCCCAUCAGAAUGAUGAACAAGUCUGAGACAUUAUUUGCUGAAGAGCGAUCUCCUGCUUCAUCUUGGUGGCCAUAUCUUUGUAGACGAUGUCCACGUUGGCCUCCAGUACCUGGACCAAUGCAGACACAAUGAUUUCUGCUUGCUGAGUAGCAAACCCAUGGUCUUCCAGAAAGCACACUAAGGAACGAGUGUCAAAGGAGAGCUUCCUACUCCCAGAAGAGCUGAAAUCUCUCCUGUGCUCCAGCUGCAGGUAUCCAGCAGACUCCUGCAGGAAGUGAGUAUAGGCACCAUGCUGAAGCAUGGGUGAAGGGCGCUGGCAGCAGCAGCGAUGCCCAGGGCAAGGCCCCACAGGCACAUCCACGCGCCGCUUUGUCCAGCCAGUGGGGCGGCAUACCCAAGGCACGAGUGCUCCCAGUCCCCAGGCUGCCGGCACGGAGCAGCGGCGGUCAAGUGCAGGGAGGGCACGAAAUGGUAAAUUUUAUGUUGUGUAUAUUUUACCACAAUUAAAAAAAAUCAUUUCUUCAGGUAGACCAGCCGCAUUUCAUGUGUUCAACAGCUACAUGCGGCCAGUAGUUACCAUACUAGACGGUGUCAAGUAGAACACUUUCCCCACUGCAGAAAGUGGUACUGGACAGGAUGGCUCUAGAGUUAGAUUAAAAACCACCGGAUUCUGAUGUCAACGGUAUUAACCUAUACGCCAAUCCAACUGCCUUAUGCUGUAUUCUGUAUGCCACUAUCCUGCCAAUUUGUUAUUCUAACAGCCUCUCCAAGCAUUGUAUACCCACUAUUGCAAACUUGAGGUCAGGAGUUCGAGACUAGCUUGACCAACGUGGUGAAAC
rnacentral:lncRNA from 10 species